GUGCUCACUUCAGCAGUACAUAUACUAAAAUUGGAACGAUACAGAGAAGAUUAGCAUAGCCCCU
ensembl:snRNA U6 U6 spliceosomal RNA